GAGGGAUAUAGUAACUUGCCAAGGCUACACAGCUGGCUGCUGACUUGAGUAAACCAAUAGAUAAAAGGAUAUACAAAGGAACACAGCCUACUUGUCAUGACUUCAACCACCUAACAGCCACAGCAGAAAGUGUCUCUCUCCUAGUGGGCUUUUCCGCAGGCCAAGUCCAGCUUAUAGACCCAAUCAAAAAAGAAACUAGCAAACUUUUUAAUGAGGAAAACUCUUGUCAGCACUUGUGGAAGGUGGAUUGGAAUGAAGAAAGACAGAAUGAAGGUAGCAAGACCAGUGAGGAGGCUCUAGUAACUGUCCAGAGACUAAUAGACAAGUCACGAGUUACCUGUGUCAAAUGGGUUCCCGGUUCGGAAAGCCUUUUCCUAGUAGCCCACUCGAGUGGGAACAUGUACUUGUAUAAUGUGGAGCACACUUGUGGCACCACAGCCCCCCACUACCAGCUUCUGAAGCAGGGAGAGAGCUUUGCCGUGCACACUUGCAAGAGCAAAUCCACGAGGAACCCUCUCCUUAAGUGGACGGUGGGCGAGGGGGCCCUCAACGAGUUUGCUUUCUCCCCAGAUGGCAAGUUCUUAGCGUGCGUGAGCCAGGACGGGUUUCUG
rnacentral:sRNA from 1 species